rnacentral:rRNA from 1 species
AUUGAACGCUGGCGGCAUGCCUUACACAUGCAAGUCGAACGGUAACAGGUCUUCGGAUGCUGACGAGUGGCGAACGGGUGAGUAAUACAUCGGAACGUGCCUAGUAGUGGGGGAUAACUACUCGAAAGAGUGGCUAAUACCGCAUGAGAUCUACGGAUGAAAGCAGGGGAUCGCAAGACCUUGUGCUACUAGAGCGGCCGAUGGCAGAUUAGGUAGUUGGUGGGAUAGAAGCUUACCAAGCCGACGAUCUGUAGCUGGUCUGAGAGGACGAUCAGCCACACUGGGACUGAGACACGGCCCAGGCUCCUACGGGAGGCAGCAGGGGGGAAUUUUGGACAAUAGGCGCAAGCCUGAUCCAGCAAUGCCGCGUGCAGGAUGAAGGCCUUCGGGUUGUAAACUGCUUUUGUACGGAACGAAAAGCCCUGGGUUAAUACCCUGGGGUCAUGACGGUACCGUAAGAAUAAGCACCGGCUAACUACGUGCCAGCCGCCGCAGUAAGAC